ACUGAUGACCACAGGAAUAUGCUGGUAUCCAGAGGAGACUCAGUCACGUUCCACUGCAACGUAUCCAGAGGAAAUGCUUCGGAAAUUACCUGGAACUUUAAAAGAUUCAUUCAUAAACAUUCUAUCCUGAUAAAUCAGACUUUUUCAAAUGUAUCCUCUGACAGACUGAAAAUAGAUCUUUUCAAGUUAAAUAUUUUAAAUGCUCAACUUGAAGAUGCAGGACUUUAUUCAUGUAGUGUAACUUCCAGACGAGGCUUAAACAGUGUUUCCUGGACUUUAACUGUGUCUGAGGGCAUUGAAGGUAGGUAGAGUAAAAAACAUGGCUCAUCAUUUCUGCAACAUGCAUCACACAGUUCAAACUUAGAACUACUUGAAUAUAAUUCUGAUUUUAUUUUAUCAGAAACCAGUUCAUCGUGGUAUUUACUAUACAUACUCACAUCUGGAACUUUAUUGCUUCUAUGUGGCAUCAGAUCAGCCGUCUGCCUCUGGAGAAGACGUCGGGCCAGGACCUGAAACUCCGUAUGAGAGCAGGAUCCUGAGCCAGGCUCAGUAUCAAGUUCUAUUGGGAGGAGAGGUGGCCCCUCCUCAACCCUACAGGCGUGCAGUGUAUAGACCAAUCAUGAGCUCUGAGUGACUCCUGUAAACCUGUCGAAUCCACUGAGCUGACAAGCACAAAGUACAAGACAAAGAAAGUAUUUCAUUACAUGUGAAAAUGAUGGGUCUGUGUAUAGUUCUUGUAAUGAGGAAAAUUACAAAGUUUAUCUUAUGUUUUUAUAUGUUUAAUCUAUUUUUUCUUGCAUGCAGAUCGUCACCACUGUGUUCCUAUGUUCUCUCCUUGUGUUUUUUGGCCUUUCCUGGUGUCUUUUAGAUUUGUGUGUUAGGAUUACCCUGCAGUACCUUGAGUUUUCAUUCAUAUAGUUUGUUUCCUACUCCUGUCUCCUUCCUGUGUUCUGCGUUUGGGUCCAACUUGUUUUUUGUUUUUUCUGGACCUCCACCAUAUUCUUCUCUGAUAACUUUUUCAUACUUCUGCUCUUGGACCUGAGCUUCAUACACAGUGUUCACAUAUACACACAUACGGGUAAUGGGGAAGAGGUGGAUACGAUCUGAAAUCAGAGAAGACAGAGCAGUUGCACACAAGGGAAGAGGAAGUGACCUGAAAUGAGAGGAGAGUCAUAUUUCAAAAUAAAACAGGAAGUCAUGAGACAAGAAUGGGGACAAGACAAAACCUCAGCAAGUUGUGACAUGCACCUGGAUUCUGAUGAUAUAAAAGUGUUUCUUCAAAGAAAAUCAGAAGAGAGGAGAGCAGACUGAGAGGCAGAAGAGACAAGAACACAUUAAGAAACCACAAACUACAGUCUUCAUGUUAAGGGUUACAGUUGUAAUGUUGUUAUAAUGUAAAUAAAGUUAAC